rnacentral:rRNA from 1 species
AACGAACGCUGGCGGCAGGCCUAACACAUGCAAGUCGAGCGAACCGCAAGGUUAGCGGCGGACGGGUUAGUAACGCGUGGGAACGUGCCCAAAGGUACGGAAUAGCCUCGGGAAACUGAGAGUAAUACCGUAUGUGCCCGAAAGGGGAAAGAUUUAUCGCCUUUGGAUCGGCCCGCGUUGGAUUAGGUAGUUGGUGGGGUAACGGCCUACCAAGCCGACGAUCCAUAGCUGGUUUGAGAGGAUGAUCAGCAACACUGGGACUGAGACACGGCCCAGACUCCUACGGGAGGCAGCAGUGGGGAAUCUUAGACAAGGGGGGAAACCCUGAUCUAGCCAUGACGCGUGAGCGAUGAAGGCCUUAGGGUUGUAAAGCUCUUUCACCGGGGAAGAUAAUGACGGUACCCGGAGAAGAAGCCCCGGCUAACUCCGUGCCAGCCGCCGCCGUAACAC